GCAAAUUAACCAUGAACCAAGGAUAUCUUUGAUUGCUUAUUUUCUUUGUUUCUUACAAACCCCCACACAAGAGGGGGUCAGACUGCAAUGCAGUCUGGGUUAUGUGAUUUCAACCCAGACAGGAGAACCAACUGGGUCCUGGCUGUCCAUCUUCUUGGCUUCUCUGUGAGUCUUCUAGAUCCUUUACAGCUAUGCAAAUAGGAGCUUUGGGCAACAGCACGUGGUUGGCAUCUGCUUUGGAAACAUUCCUGCAGCUGAAAGCAGACAGGACAUCUGUUGUGAAAGAAAUGUGCUUUUCCCUUAGACUUGGGGCAGAGCUCAGAAACAAAGCAACAUUUAUUCUCAUCUGAGAGUGUUCCAUGUCAGACUUGUCCAUGGAAAUCAUGCUGUGUAUAGAGCAAAGGAGAGAGAGAGGAAAGGAGCUCCCAUUCUUUUAGUCACUGAAUGAGUUGGAUACAUCCAUAUGCCUCGUCUCAUCUAAUCUCCACAGCAUCCCUAAAAGGAAAUUUCUUAGGAAGCAAAUUACAGCAAUUUCAGAGCAAGCAAAAUCCCACCAACAAACCCAAGAAUCGAACUGCCAUGCCCCUGGGGAGAACGAAGCAGGGCCCACGUGGGAGCCCAGACUAGGCUGUCAUGAGCUAGUAUUGCAUGCCAAAGCAAAAAAGAAGUGGAUUUCCUGAGCUCUCAAUUCAGAUCCCAGCUGAAAGGGGAAGAAAUCAGCUGUGUGACCAGAGGGUGGCACAGGAUGCAUGAACCUCUUCUGUCCAUCUUCAAGGCCACAGACCAGCCCCUGCCUCCCAGAAAAAUCUACUUGUGAGAAAAACUCCUGGUUGGACUGAUCAGAUGUAAAGGGUUUAACUUAGUAUGGAUAUAUAGAGCAGCUCCUGGAACUGUGUCCUGCAGUAAUAAGAACUCAAGAGAUAUUUACAGAAUGUUGAAGGAAGAUAUUUUUCAUUCUUGUGCCAUAAAGCCCAAGGCAGCUUUAGACUUAACUUUUAAAGAGGAGAUGGCAGCCAUUAAACAAAACAAAACAAAACAGCACCUGAAGAAAAGAGUAUGCUUAAAAAUUAUGGUUUGUGUUUUACAUUUUUGCAAAGGAGACAUAAUUAAAGUGUUUCACUCUCCUCCUGGACCUCUGACAGCAAAAUUAGCAGGAAGGAGAACAGCACACAAUAGAAAGUAAAGGGAUCCACAAGAAGAGGUUUGGCAUUCAUGGAAACAAUCAUGAAAGAAAAACAACUAUUUUACCCCACUAGCCUGCCAACAUGGUGACCAGACCCUCCAAGGAUGUUGAAAUGGGAAGGCAGAGUCUGUGAGAUAACUCAAAAGGCCAUCCCCAGCCUUCAGGAACUAUCUCCAAAUCGUUUGGAAAAUCCCAUGCCCUCGAUCCUUUCUCGGGCAGCAGAUACCUUCAUCUCCACUACCAUCAUCACUACCCACAACAAAGGACAGCUGGCAUUACAAUGGAUCCAGCACUAGGAAGUCUACUUACAGGCAAAAAUCUCAUCUAAUCAUUACAAAAACAAAAACAAAACAAAACACCUCUGAAGAAAAUAGCCUCAUUUCCAUCUUACAGAUGAUAAAAGUUAAGAUUUUGAAAGGUUAUAUAACUGACGAUGGUCGCAUAGCUAGAAAAUCACAGUGAGCCCUAGUAGGUUCUGUGAUUUCAGACACCUUGCUCUAUGAUGUUAUACUUCCUCCCCUUAAUGUAAACUAGUUGUGAGAAGUGGAUCUUCCAUAUUCCCUCGGACCAGUGUUUCCCAGGCCUUGGUUUGACCUCUGGUAGGGAUAGUACAUGUCUAGCUUUCUCCAUUCCAUGAAUGGACACCUCUUACAUGUGUCUUGCAACCUCUCUUAAGACAUAAACCCAGGCACAAAACAAAUGCCCCUAAAUAAAUACCAGACCAAAA